rnacentral:rRNA from 1 species
GCGCUGCCUGGCAGUGUAUUGACGCUGAGGUGCGAAAGUGCGGGGAGCAAACAGGAUUAGAUACCCUGGUAGUCCGCACCGUAAACGAUGGAUACUAGGCGUUCGGAGAGUUAACCCUCUGAGUGCCAAAGUUCACACAUUAAGUAUCCCGCCUGGGAAGUACGGUCGCAAGACUAAAACUCAAAGGAAUUGACGGGGGCCCGCACAAGCGGUGGAGUAUGUGGUUUAAUUCGAAGCAACGCGCAGAACCUUACCUGGCCUUGACAUCGCGAGACAGGUGCAGAGAUGCAUCCUUCCCUUCGGGGACUCGUAGACAGGUGCUGCAUGGCUGUCGUCAGCUCGUGUUGUGAAAUGUUCGGUUAAGUCCGGCAACGAGCGCAACCCCUGUUCUCAGUUACCAGCAUUAAGUUGGGGACUCUGGGAAGACCGCCGGUGUUAAACCGGAGGAAGGCGGGGAUGACGUCAAGUCCUCAUGGCCCUUACGGCCAGGGCUACACACGUACUACAAUGGUAGAAACAGACGGCUGCAAGACCGCAAGGUGGAGCUAAUCCGUAAAACACUAUCUCAGUCCGGAUUGAGGUCUGCAACUCGACCUCAUGAAGUUGGAAUCGCUAGUAAUCGCAGAUCAGCACGCUGCGGUGAAUACGUUCCCGGGCCUUGUACGCACCGCCCGUCACACCACGAAAGUGGUCUUAACCAGAAGUGAGUGAGCCAACCGCAAGGAAGCAGCUCACCAAGGUUGAGGCCGUGAUUGGGGUGAAGUCGUAACAAGGUAACCAAGGG